CUGAAUAACUCCGCAGAUCGCAUGGUCUAGCACCGGCGACAUAUCUUUCAAGUGUCUGCCUUAUCAACUUUCGAUGGUAGUUUAUGUGACUACCAUGGUUGUAACGGGUAACGGAGAAUUAGGGUUCGACUCCGGAGAGGGAGCCUGAGAAACGGCUACCACAUCCAAGGAAGGCAGCAGGCGCGCAAAUUACCCACUCUCGGCACGAGGAGGUAGUGACGAAAAAUAACGAGACAGUUCUCUCUGAGGUCUGUCAUCGGAAUGGGUACAAUCUAAACCCUUUAACGAGGAUCUAUUGGAGGGCAAGUCUGGUGCCAGCAGCCGCGGUAAUUCCAGCUCCAAUAGCGUAUAUUAAAGUUGUUGCGGUUAAAAAG
rnacentral:rRNA from 1 species